rnacentral:rRNA from 1 species
UACGGAGGGGGCCAGCGUUGUUCGGAAUUAUUGGGCGUAAAGGGCGCGUAGGCGGCUGGGUAAGUCAAAUGUGAAAUCCCGAGGCUCAACCACGGAAUUGCGUUUGAAACUGCCUAGCUUGAGUCCCGGAGAGGGUAGUGGAAUUCCCAGUGUAGCGGUGAAAUGCGUAGAUAUUGGGAGGAACACCAGUGGCGAAGGCGACUACCUGGACGGGUACUGACGCUGAGGCGCGAAAGCGUGGGGAGCAAACAGG